rnacentral:rRNA from 1 species
CAGUCGCCGCGGUAAUACAGAGGGUGCGAGCGUUAAUCGGAUUUACUGGGCGUAAAGCGUGCGUAGGCGGCUUCUUAAGUCGGAUGUGAAAUCCCUGAGCUUAACUUAGGAAUUGCAUUCGAUACUGGGAAGCUAGAGUAUGGGAGAGGAUGGUAGAAUUCCAGGUGUAGCGGUGAAAUGCGUAGAUAUCUGGAGGAAUACCGAUGGCGAAGGCAGCCAUCUGGCCUAAUACUGACGCUGAGGUACGAAAGCAUGGGGAGCAAACAGGAUUAGAUACCCCAGUAGUCCCUGUCUCUUAUAC